rnacentral:misc_RNA from 1 species
UGUUCGAGGGUCAUCACACCCCUCAAGCUCUGCUUGGUCUUGGGGAUUGCUAGUGGUAGCACCUCUUAAAUUCAGUGGCAGUGCAGUCACUCCAAAGCGUAGUAGAAUCUCUUCGUUUCGUGUAGUGUCUUGCGACGUGCCAAAAACCCUCCUCGAUGCACUUUGACCUCGGAUCAGGUAGGAAUACCCGCUGAACUUAA